rnacentral:lncRNA from 1 species
AGUGGUUCUGAAGCUUUAGCAGGCAUUAGAAUCACCUGGAGAGCUUGUUCACGGCAGAUUACUAGGUCCUAGCCUCAGAGUUCCUGAUCCCGUAGGUCUGGGGUAAAACCCAAGAAUUUGCGUUUCAAGCAAGUUCCCUGGUGAUACUAAAGCUGCUCGUCUAGAGAUGAUGCUUUGUGAACCAAACCAUGUCAUCGCUGACAUUUUGAGACGUUACAGCAUUGGGUACACUGGCCGAGUGCCAUCAAUUCUGCACAUUAAUGCAGUAAAUCGAGUUAGAGAAGCCUGUAUUCCAGAAGAAAAUGCUCUAGUCUGAGAUAUCAGUCUGUGUAAAAGAUUCGAAAACUGAAAAUUAGACAAGGAACCUGAAUUGCAGCGCCAAGAGAGAAGUAUGGAUUCCAGAUGUUGAUUUUGGAAUCAUCAGUAGAGGAUGUUUACUGAAACAUGUGAACGGAAGUGUUUUCUCCAGAAGAGAGAUUAAAGAAUGAAAAUAGAGGUCUAUGGGGAGAGAAUCCUUGAAAGGAAACUGAGAAGUACUGAAGAAAGUUGUAUGUAUGUAGGAGGAAACCCAGAUGAGAGUCGUGUCCGAAAAACUGCGAGAGAAGGAGUUGAGGAAGGGGAGGGAGUGGCCCAUAUGUCACAGGCUGGAGAGAAACCUUCAGAAAUAAAAACUGAAAUGUGGCCCAUGUAUUUCAUGAAUUUAGCAGCUAGGUCUCUGGGUCCGUGGCAGAAGCAGUUUCCUGAACUGGUGGAGACAGUCAGCUUACAAGGCACCAAGGAGUGAACAGAACAUGCAAUGAUAGGAAAUAAGAACCUUUGUUCCUAAGGAUAAAAAGAUAAGGUCGUAUCCAGAGGUGGGACUGUGGAUUGUCAAUGUUGUUGUUUUAAGAAGGCAAAUAUUUGAGUAUGCUUAUGAAAGAAAAGGCUAUUGUGGUGAGGGGGAGGUUGAAAUGGCAGGGUAUGGGAGUGAGAGCCUAACAAUGGAUUUCGUUAUCUACAGUAAAGCUGUGCAUUGUGGUCGGCAGAGCCAUGCC